UCUCUUGUGGAGUAUCUAUUAUGAUAUUCGCCCUUUUUUCUAUUGAGUUCUCUUCCUUUUUCUUAUUGAUUCAAAGGAGUGUUUCCUAUGCUCCCUGUAAGAGCCCUGUGUCAGAAUAUGUAUUGAAACUCCCUUCUCUCAGUCUAUGGUUUACCUUUUUACUCUCUUAAUGGGUUUUGAAGAACUGAAGUUCUUAACUUUGAUUUCAUUCCAUUGAUCAAUACCUCUCCCCUUGAUGGUUAUUGCUCUUUGUGUCUUAGGAAGUCAUUUCUGGAGGAGGAUCUUGUGGAAGUGGCCAGCUCAAGUCUGAGGGAUUAUUAUACAUCACGUUACCUACAGCAGCAGACAGCUCAGUUUGUAUGCUAAAAUUACCCAAGAAACAGCAAGGCAAGAGGUCUGCUUGUGCCUUCUCUAUGAAGAUAUGUGGAAGUAGCAAUACAAAAGAAAAUCCAGAAGCCCCUGCAAAGUGCAUUUUCCAAUAUUGCUAUGAAAGGAGACCUUUCAGAGGGCUUUUCCAUCUGGAGACUGAUGUCAGAGAGAUAUGAAGAGUGAAGGGGAUUUGACUUGAAGAUGCAGGAGGCCACACAAGAAAGAAUUCAAACAAUCUUAAAGAGAAAGGCAUCCUGGCCAACAACCAUCAAGGAAGCCAGGCUGUUAGUCCUAUGACUACAAGAGACUGAAUUCUGCCCAUGACCUCAGUGGGCCUGGAAGUGAUGUCCACUCAGAGUCUGCAGAUGAAGGCUCAGCUUGGCUCACAGCUUGAGUCCCUCUUUAUGAUCCCUGGAACAGAGAAUGGAGCGACACUGAGCAGGACUUCCAGCCUACAGGACUGUGAAUUAAUAAACAGAUGUUGUUAGAA